CUAUGCGCCUUGCCAGCCCGCUCAGUCAGAGUUUGAUCCUGGCUCAGAUUGAACGCUGGCGGCAUGCUUUACACAUGCAAGUCGAACGGCAGCGCGGGGCAACCUGGCGGCGAGUGGCGAACGGGUGAGUAAUAUAUCGGAACGUACCCAAGAGUGGGGGAUAACGUAGCGAAAGUUACGCUAAUACCGCAUACGAUCUAAGGAUGAAAGCAGGGGACCGCAAGGCCUUGUGCUCCUGGAGCGGCCGAUAUCUGAUUAGCUAGUUGGUAGGGUAAAGGCCUACCAAGCUACGAUCAGUAGCUGGUCUGAGAGGACGACCAGCCACACUGGAACUGAGACACGGUCCAG
rnacentral:rRNA from 1 species